rnacentral:rRNA from 1 species
AGUCACGACGCAUAUCAAUAAGCGGAGGAAAAGAAACCAACAGGGAUUGCCCUAGUAACGGCGAGUGAAGCGGCAACAGCUCAAAUUUGAAAUCUGGCUUCGGCCCGAGUUGUAAUUUGCAGAGGAAGCUUUAGGCGCGGCACUUUCUGAGUCCCCUGGAACGGGGCGCCAUAGAGGGUGAGAGCCCCGUAUAGUUAGAUGCCUAGCCUGUGUAAAGCUCCUUCGACGAGUCGAGUAGUUUGGGAAUGCUGCUCAAAAUGGGAGGUAAAUUUCUUCUAAAGCUAAAUACCGGCCAGAGACCGAUAGCGCACAAGUAGAGUGAUCGAAAGAUGAAAAGCACUUUGAAAAGAGGGUUAAAUAGCACGUGAAAUUGUUGAAAGGGAAGCGCUUGUGACCAGACUUGCGCCGGGCAGAUCAUCCGGUGUUCUCACCGGUGCACUCUGCCCGGCUCAGGCCAGCAUCGGUUCUCGCGGGGGGAUAAAGGCCCUGGGAACGUAGCUCCUCCGGGAGUGUUAUAGCCCGGGGCGUAAUGCCCUCGCGGGGACCGAGGUUCGCGCAUCUGCAAGGAUGCUGGCGUAAUGGUCAUCAGCGA